rnacentral:rRNA from 1 species
AUUGAUCGCUGGCGGCAGGCUUAACACAUGCAAGUCGAGCGGAGAUGAGGUGCUUGCACCUUAUCUUAGCGGCGGACGGGUGAGUAAUGCUUAGGAAUCUGCCUAUUAGUGGGGGACAACAUUCCGAAAGGAAUGCUAAUACCGCAUACGUCCUACGGGAGAAAGCAGGGGAUCUUCGGACCUUGCGCUAAUAGAUGAGCCUAAGUCGGAUUAGCUAGUUGGUGGGGUAAAGGCCUACCAAGGCGACGAUCUGUAGCGGGUCUGAGAGGAUGAUCCGGCACACUGGGACUGAGACACGGCCCAGACUCCUACGGGAGGCAGCAGUGGGGAAUAUUGGACAAUGGGGGGAACCCUGAUCCAGCCAUGCCGCGUGUGUGAAGAAGGCCUUCGGGUUGUAAAGCACUUUCAGCGAGGAGGAAGGGAGUUGUGUUAAUAGCACAGCUUUUUGACGUUACUCGCAGAAGAAGCACCGGCUAACUCUGUGCCAGCCGCCGCCGUAACAC